rnacentral:rRNA from 1 species
CCUACGGGUGGCAGCAGUGAGGAAUAUUGGUCAAUGGCCGUAAGGCUGAAGCAGUCAAGUCGCGUGAAGGAAGAAGGAUCUAUGGUUUGUAAACUUCUUUUAUAGGGGAGUAAAGAUAUACACGUGUGGAUAUUUGCAUGUACCCUAUGUAUAAGCAUAGGCUAACUCCGUGCCAGCAGCCGCGGUAAUACGGAGGAUGCGGGCGUUACCCGGAUUGAUUGGGUUUAAAGGGUACGUAGGUUGUUUUUUAAGUCAGCGGUGAAAGUUUGGGGCUCAACCAUAAAAUUGCCGUUGAUACUGGGAGACUUGAGUGUGUUUGAGGGGGGCGGAAUGCGUGGUGUAGCGGUGAAAUGCAUAGAGAUCACGCAGAACACCGAUUGCGAAGGCAGCCCACUGAGCCAUAACUGACACUGAUGUACGAAAGCGUGGGGAGCAAACAGGAUUAGAUACCCGUGUAGUC